UACGGAGGGUGCAAGCGUUAUCCGGAUUUACUGGGCUUAAAGGGCGCGUAGGCGGGCAGUUAAGUCAGUGGUGAAAUCUUCAAGCUUAACUUGGAAACUGCCAUUGAUACUAUUUGUCUUGAAUUAGCUGGAGGUAAGCGGAAUAUGUCAUGUAGCGGUGAAAUGCUUAGAUAUGACAUAGAACACCCAUGGCGAAGGCAGCUUACUGCGGAUAUAUUGACGCUGAGGCACGAAAGCGUGGGGAGCAAACAGG
rnacentral:rRNA from 1 species